GACGAACGCUGGCGGCGUGCUUAACACAUGCAAGUCGAACGGACAGACAGAGAGCUUGCUCUCUUGAAGUUAGUGGCGAACGGGUGAGUAACGCGUAAUCAACCCGCCCUUCAGAGGGGGAUAACAACGGGAAACCGUUGCUAAUACCGCGUACGAUUCAUGAACGUCAUCGUUUAUGAAUGAAAGGUGGCCUCUAUGUAUAAGCUAUCGCUGAAGGAGGGGAUUGCGUCUGAUUAGCUAGUUGGAGGGGUAACGGCCGACCAAGGCAUGAUCAGUAGCCGGUCUGAGAGGAUGAACGGCCACAUUGGGACUGAGACACGGCCCAAACUCCUACGGGAGGCAGCAGUGGGGAAUCUUCCGCAAUGGACGAAAGUCUGACGGAGCAACGCCGCGUGAGUGAUGAAGGUCUUCGGAUUGUAAAGCUCUGUUAAUCGGGACGAAAGAGUUCUGCGUGAAUAAUGCAGAAAAGUGACGGUACCGGAAUAGAAAGCCACGGCUAACUACGUGCCAGCAGCCGCCGUAA
rnacentral:rRNA from 1 species